CCUACGGGGGGCUGCAGCUAAGAAUAUUCCGCAAUGGACGAAAGUCUGACGGAGCGACGCCGCGUGGAUGAAGAAGGCCGAAAGGUUGUAAAAUCCUUUUGCUGAUGAAGAAUAAGUAUGGUAGGGAAUGACCGUAUGAUGACAUUAGUCGGUGAAUAAGCCCCGGCUAACUACGUGCCAGCAGCCGCGGUAACACGUAGGGGGCAAGCGUUGUGCGGAGUUAUUGGGCGUGAAGUGCAUGUAGGGGGUUGAAAUCCUGCAGCUUAACUGUAGAAUUGCAUCGGGUACUGCAAGACUUGAAUCACAGAGGGGAAACUAGAAUUCCAGGUGUAGGGGUGGAAUCUGUAGAUAUCUGGAAGAAUACCGGUGGCGAAGGCGGGUUUCUAGCUGAUGAUUGACGCUGAGGUGCGAAAGUGCGGGGAGCAAACAGGAUUAGAUACCCCUGUAGUC
rnacentral:rRNA from 1 species